rnacentral:snRNA from 1 species
GUGCUCGCUUCAGCAGCACAUAUACUAAAAAAUUGGAACAAUACAGACAAGAUUAGCAUGGCCACUGCACAAGGAUGUGAUGGAAAUUCAUGAAGCAUUCCAUAUUUUU